rnacentral:rRNA from 1 species
AUGCCGACGCCGACGCCGAAGUCUCGCCGCCAUGCGCUGCUGCUGGCCGCGCUCGUCCUCGCGGCUGGCGCGGUCGCUCAGGCGGACGACGACCCGUGGGACAGGAAGAGCGACGGCGACGGCAGGAGAGGGGUCGUGUACGGCGCGAGGAAGCCGCCCAGCUUCAGCGCGCCCAUGGUGGUGCUCCUCGUCGCGCUCAUCGCCACCUUCUUCUUCAUCGGCUUCUUCUCCAUCUACAUCCGCCAGUGCGGCCGCGGCAACUCCCCCACCAUCCCGGCCGCCGCGUUCCUCGUGCUGUCGCGGCAGCAGGAGCAGCAGCAGGCCCGGCCGCGCGGGCUCGACCCGGAGGUGGUCGCCUCGUUCCCCGCCAUGACCUACGCCGAGGCGAGGGCGCUCCGGGACAAGGACGGCGACGACACGGCCGUGCUCGAGUGCGCCGUCUGCCUCAGCGAGUUCGAGGACGGGGACCAGCUCCGGCUCCUCCCCAAGUGCAGCCACGCGUUCCACCCGGACUGCAUCGGGGAGUGGCUCGCCGGCCACGUCACCUGCCCCGUCUGCCGCUGCAGCCUCGCCCCCGAGGAGCCGGCCCCGGCCGCGGCUGAAGAGAACAGCGCCGGUGCGGAGGAGCAGCGGGCGCCGGAGGUGGCCAUCGACAUGGACCCCGAGGGAGACGGCGCGGCGCAUGAGGAGAGGAUGAGGGAGGCGGCAGAGCUGGAGCGGAUCGGCAGCCUGCGGCGCGCGGUGCGGUCGCGGUCGGGGCGGCCGUUCUCGCGCGCGCACUCGACGGGCCACUCCCUCUCGGCCCGGUUCGACGGCGACCUGGAGCGGUUCACGCUGCGCCUCCCGGAGCACGUGCGCAGGGACAUGGUGGCCGCGGGCGAGGAGAGCCUGCGCCGCACGGUGGCGCGGGACGCCGGCGCGCGGAGCGCGCGGAUCGGCCGGUCCGACCGGUGGCCGUCGUUCAUCGCCAGGACGUUCUCCUCCAGGGUGCCGUUCUGGGCGGCCUCGAGGAGGGCGCCGGACGCGGAGCCGGUGGGAGCGCCCGCCCCUACGACCCCGACGGCGCCGCCGCUGCCAAGAACCGUCCGUGAGAAGGCGCCGGACGGGUCCGUCGUGGGCUCGGCCACCACCAAGGGGAGCGUGCGCUUCGACUGCCUCGGCGGCAGGGUCGACGGCGACAGCGAGGAGGAGCCGGAGGAGGAGAAGGCGAUCGUCCGGCGAGUCUGA